AUUAAUGACUAUGCUCUGUCUUACCAUUUUAAACAGUACUUAUUCUUGACUCUUCAAUACUCCGAUAGCAAAAAAGCUUGACGGCAUAUUAAGAAACACUGAUAAAAUGAAGCCCUAGUGAGAAAAUUGGGGUUUGUUCAUUCAGCAAGCAUGGCUAGGAAGUUAAAGAAGCUUAACUCAUCUCUGUACCCCAACUAACAGAGUUCUUUGCUGCUCAGAAAAAGAAAUAAAAGAGUUUUAACCUCAGAGAUCCUCAAGGUCUUGAUUAUUAGGUUUGCAACUUGAAAUCUGCUUUCUGCCAGUGUGCUGACAUCAAUGUUGUCCCAAAUCAAGUCCCAUUAAAUUAACCCGAACCUGGCCAGUUCCAGUGUGGGCAUCAAAGUUGAAUUUGGAAAUCAUAUCCCAAAGUGUGGCAUGCAACUUGUAACGCUCUGUGCUCCUUGGCAGAAGAAGCAGAAAACACUUAGAGCCCCUCUCAGGAGCUGUACUGGUGUGAGAGAUGAUACUGAGCGUGUUACAUUCACCUGUGGUUUGGUUUGUGCAUCUGGCAGCUGAGGAGAACAGAUUUCAACAGAUCUUGACAGGUUUCUGUGAAAAAUCUUGUCCAGAAAAGCAGACCCCCGAAUCCCUAACUCUUUCCUCGUCUUACAGGUGAACCUUGAGGACACUUGCGAGACCGUAGCUCCUGAAUGCAUGACCUUCUCCUGUGAUUAGAAGAGAGCCAUGGGGAAAGACAAGAAGGAAGAGGAGGCCGUCUUUCUGAGGAAAAAGAUAACUUUGCUGCGGGCUUUCUCCCUCCUCAUCGGCAGCAUGGUUGGCAGUGGCAUCUUUAUCUCCCCCAAAGGAGUACUGAAAAACUCUGGCAGCGUGGGUUUCUCCCUGGUUGUCUGGUUUGCCUGUGGGCUCCUCUCAAUGUUUGGUGCUUUGUGUUAUGCAGAGCUUGGAACAAGAAUCACCAAGUCUGGAGGACAUUAUAUCUACAUUUUGGAGACACUAGGGCCUCUGCCAAGUUUCUUAUUCCUGUGGGCAGAGUUUUUUGCUAUCAGGCCUGCCAACAGCGCCGUGGUUUCUUUGGCAUUUGGACGCUACAUGCUGGAGCCAUUUUUUGCCCCCUGUGCAGCCCCUGUCCCUGCUGUGAAGCUCGUGUCUCUCCUGGGGUACUACAUGGUCCUCACCCUCAAUUCCUGGAGCGUCACCUGGAGUGCCCGGCUACAGACGGCGCUCUCCAUCAUCAAACUCCUGGCUCUUGCACUCAUCAUCGUGCCAGGGAUGAUGCUGCUGGCCCAGGGCCACACCGAAAACUUCCAGGAUGCUUUUGACAGACAGUCGUUGCUUUUGGAUAAGCUGCCCCUGGCCUUUUAUGCAGGCAUGUUCGCAUAUUCAGGCUGGUUUCAGACCAGCUUUGUACGUGAAGAGUUGGUCAGACCUGAACGAAAUAUCCCCCUGGCUGUCAUCGUGUCCGUGAUCACGGUAAUUGUGGGGUACAUGCUCACCAACAUCUCCUAUUACACGGUCCUGGGAAGGCAAGACGUUCUGGCUUCUCCUGCUGUGGCUGUGAGCUUUGUGCAGCGAGCCUUCAAAAGCCUGAUAUCUGUGGUCCCCGUCCUUGUCGCACUGUCCUGCUUUGGAACCAUGAAUGGAGGAAUCUUUACGUUUUCAAGGACUCUGUUUGUGGCUUCCAGGGAAGGGCAGUGGCCUCCUCUCUUCUCCAUGAUACACAUUCGAAGGCAUACGCCCCUUCCUGCUGUCAUGUUAAUGCUUUUCCCGAUGGCUCUUCAUAGGAUUAGCCACCCUUGGGCUCAUUGUCCAUCGCCACCGUCACCCGGAGCUGCACAGCCCGUUCAAGGUUCCCCUGUUCAUUCCCGUCUCUUUUACCGUCAUCUGCCUCUUCACAGUGGCAAUGUCCUUCUAUUCAGACCCCGUGAACAUUAGCAUCGGAUGCACCAUGGUUUUAAGCGGUUUUCCAGUCUACUACCUCAUAAUCCACAGGCAAAUGUCAACUCGUUGCCGUAGCCCAUUUUAUUAUCUUACACACAAACUACAGUUACUGCUGGAAGUAGUCCAACAAGAAAUCAAGACUUACUGACAAAACCAUCAGAACUCACAGGAGAAGAUAAAAUCUACUUACUUCCUUUCAGAUAGCUUUGAUCCUAACAAAAGCAGGCCAUGUUCUUGUUCUUUUAAUCACUGCAAAUGAGGAUAAGCCUGAGCCAAAACGUUGCUGCAAGUGUUCCUAAGCUUGCCAAUCGGGAUUGGGAUGAGCGUGUCACAUCUGUUUCUGCCCUUUUCUUUUUUAGCAGAACAAUCUAGUUCUCUGAAGUGAGCUUGCUUUGCCUGCAGAGUGUCUUCAAAACCAAGAUCCUAAUUUUGCAGCCUAGCCCAGUUCUCCGUAAAAUAGUAUGUGUGUGUGUGUGUGUGUACCUAUAUAUGCAUAUAUAUAUACACACCCACUAUUUUUUAAUUUCCUAACUUGGCAAAUAGAGGAAGGGAGCAUGUUGCAGAGUCCAAUACAUGGAAGCCAAAUGCAGGUUUUAAACUGAAGCGUUGUAGUAGCCAUGCUGUGGACAAGCAUUAUGAAGGGAAAUGGGUGGGGAGAGCAAAUUAGAAAUAAGGUUAGAUGUAUUGGAAAGGAGGAGGCAGGGGGAUGAAACUUCAUUCACCAGAAAGUGCACAUUGAGAUUAAUGAGAAGAUAUUUGAAAACCCCUUGAAGUUCAAAUAUUACCAAAGUAGGGUCAGAAUGUUUUGCUUUGAUUAUUGUAUAAGCAGAAUAAGUUUAUUUUGUUUUGAAAUAAUAUUUCAAUUUUGAAUUUUAUUUUUCUGAAGUGACAUUUCAAAAUGUACAGACAAAUUAAAAAAAUCAGCUAAAUAUCAACAAUAUGACAAAAUAGAUUCUGAUCCCUCCCCUAACUCCCUAGCCCCCCUCCUUACCUGGUACUAGUAAUGAAGUUGAAAAUUCAGAUUUCGGCCCAACUCCAGUGAAAUACAAUUUCUCCUUUACUUAGACAAGACCACUGAUGAGACUUGAGCAGAUUCCUGAAUAAGUGCAUCUUUUGGUGCUGUAAAAAGACACAAAAGACUUCACGUAGAAGUUUUAACUUUAAAUCUGCAGUCAAAUUAUUUGCUGAACUGAUACCUAAAUACUCAUUUGAACUAUUGACGUUAGAAAAGUUUUUGUUAUUGGAUUACUUUGGUUUACAUUAUUAAUGUGGCAACGUUAGGUCCAGAUAAAACAACAAUUAGCUAUUUCCAAUCACUUAAUUGUUAAUCUUUUCCGAAAAGAUAGGAAGCAGUAUGCUGAGACUCCUCUAAUGGCUGCUGGAGAGAGGAAUAGCAGAACAUGGAGCAUUUUUAACCUUUUGUAUCAAGCAUUUGUGUACUUAGAGUAAAACCAAAGUACCAUUUACAAACCCAGUGUAAUCUACCGAAACUUGUAAAAUUCACCAUCAAGAUUUGAAAAUAAAUAAGUUGCUUUUUUUUUCCAAA